CAGCAGCCGCGGUAAUACGGAGGAUCCGAGCGUUAUCCGGAUUUAUUGGGUUUAAAGGGAGCGUAGGUGGACUGNUAAGUCAGUUGUGAAAGUUUGCGGCUCAACCGUAAAAUUGCAGUUGAUACUGUCAGUCUUGAGUACAGUAGAGGUGGGCGGAAUUCGUGGUGUAGCGGUGAAAUGCUUAGAUAUCACGAAGAACUCCGAUUGCGAAGGCAGCCUGCUAAGCUGCAACUGACAUUGAGGCUCGNAAGUGUGGGUAUCAAACAGGAUUAGAUACCCUGGUAGUCCACAC
rnacentral:rRNA from 1 species